rnacentral:rRNA from 1 species
AACGAACGCUGGCGGCAUGCCUAACACAUGCAAGUCGAACGAGAUCUUCGGGUCUAGUGACGCACGGGUGCGUAACGCGUGGGAAUCUGCCCUUUGGUUCGGAAUAACAGUUGGAAACGACUGCUAAUACCGGAUGAUGACGAAAGUCCAAAGAUUUAUCGCCAGAGGAUGAGCCCGCGUAGGAUUAGCUAGUUGGUGUGGUAAAGGCGCACCAAGGCGACGAUCCUUAGCUGGUCUGAGAGGAUGAUCAGCCACACUGGAACUGAGACACGGACCAGACUCCUACGGGAGGCAGCAGUGGGGAAUAUUGGACAAUGGGCGAAAGCCUGAUCCAGCAAUGCCGCGUGAGUGAUGAAGGCCUUAGGGUUGUAAAGCUCUUUUACCCGGGAUGAUAAUGACAGUACCGGGAGAAUAAGCUCCGGCUAACUCCGUGCCAGCAGCCGCCGUAA